rnacentral:misc_RNA from 1 species
UGAUAAUGGUGAAACCUGGAGAAGGGAAGCUGGACGGGAAUGCGGAGGCAACUCCAUUGCCGAUGGUGAGGAUGGAGAAGUUGAGGGCGGAAAUGAAAAUGCAGGGGGAAGUUAGGGUUUAUGCGGUGAAAAUGCGAGUGGAGAAGAAGGGAAGAGGAAGGGUUAUGCGGAAAUGAGGAUCGUGAGAGAAGAAGAACAGUGAACAGGGAUAUCGGG